UGUAAUGUGUAGUAUGCCUGUUGUCUCUUUUCCCUUUGCCCUUUCUUUGGAGAAUUAAAAAAAAGCCCUCAUAAUUCAGUUAAGCCACUGUGUGAAAAUCUGAUAUUUCAAAGUAAUUUCAUACCAUUGCUGUGUUGGUAAGCUUAAAGUAUUUGGAUAGGGGUUUUUUUGGGAACAUUUGGUACAGUCUUUUAACCACAGGUCCAAUAGUGUCCCAAUGAACCAGCAGAAGCAGGCAUGGGGCAGUUGGUGGCUUAUUUCUGUUUCCCUCUGUAUUUACUGUGUUUUAAAAAAGAAAAAAAAAGGGGGGGGAACAAGUUAAAAAUUGGGCCCAUCUCAUGUGAAUAUCUAAUUUGAUUUCUGUACCUAUGGAAUGGACUAAAACUUAUAUUUGGCGGUAGAGCACCUUCUUCCCUGUUUCUUUACAACUGCUACUAAAAAAGAUGGUUAUAACAGAGACAAAAAUUUAUUUCAGAAAACAGUAAAUUAGCGGGUUUUAUAAGAUGUAAGCUUGUUAAGAAGACAGGUAUUUUCUUGUUCUAGGAGAGAACCACUUGCAUUGAGCAUUGAAUGCUGAAUACUCAACUGGUUUUAAGUCAUUCAUCUAUUUAUAUUGACAUUACUUAUUUGCCUACUGAUUGCUCUGGAUUAAGCUCUUGAUCUAGUUGUUUUACUGGUGUCUAAAAUAAGCUGCAGUGUGCAAUGUCACAUGUGCAUGUCUAAUACUGCUGGGAAAAGUGAAUGCUGUAAUGCGUAAAAUAUCUAAAAAAUAUCCUUAUAUGUGUUUUGACAGAUUGGCAAAAUGAGGUAUGUCAGUGUUCGUGACUUUAAAGGAAAAGUCUUAAUUGAUAUUAGGGAAUAUUGGAUGGAUCAAGAAGGUGAAAUGAAGCCUGGCAGAAAAGGUAUUUCUUUAAAUCCAGAACAGUGGAACCAGCUGAAGGAACAGAUUUCUGAUAUUGAUGAUGCAGUGAGAAAACUGUAAAUACAGAGCAAUACAGAAACCUUUUAUCAUUUCAGUUGUUUUAAGUGGUCUUUUUACAUUGGCAUUUGUUUUCUAAAAUAAUGUUUUCCAAGCUAUUGUAUAUUUAUUUGGAUUGCUAAAUGAUUUGUAAAAUGAAUACUUUAUGUGCAUUAAAAGUGUAUUCUGAGUGAGGCUAUUUGUGUAUACAUUGCUAAAAGGAAAUGUGUUGCUUUUACCUCAUAGUAUAAAAUAAAAAAAAUCAAAUAAUA